rnacentral:rRNA from 1 species
UGGGGAAUUUUGGACAAUGGGGGCAACCCUGAUCCAGCAAUGCCGCGUGUGUGAAGAAGGCCUUCGGGUUGUAAAGCACUUUUGUCCGGGAAGAAAUCCCCUGCCCUAAUACGGCGGGGGAUGACGGUACCGGAAGAAUAAGCACCGGCUAACUACGUGCCAGCAGCCGCGGUAAUACGUAGGGUGCGAGCGUUAAUCGGAAUUACUGGGCGUAAAGCGUGCGCAGGCGGUGAUGUAAGACCGAUGUGAAAUCCCCGGGCUCAACCUGGGAACUGCAUUGGUGACUGCAUUGCUCGAGUAUGGCAGAGGGGGGUGGAAUUCCACGUGUAGCAGUGAAAUGCGUAGAGAUGUGGAGGAACACCGAUGGCGAAGGCAGCCCCCUGGGCCAAUACUGACGCUCAUGCACGAAAGCGUGGGGAGCAAACAGGAUUAGAUACCCUGGUAGUCCACGCCCUAAACGAUGUCAACUGGUUGUCGGGCCUUCAUUGGCUUGGUAACGUAGCUAACGCGUGAAGUUGACCGCCUGGGGAGUACGGUCGCAAGAUUAAAA